UAGACCGCCAUCUCUGCUGUCUCCCACCUGGCCUGCCAGGGAGAACAUCGACCCCUCCGGACUUCCAUGGGAGUUUAAAGCACAGAUUGUGAAGACUAAUGAUGCAUAUAAAUCACCUCAUUACAUCUUCUGAAGACAUCACAUUGCUUACAUUAGAGUGCCUCUGCUCAGUCCUUGCUCCAAAGUUCACCCAGGGAUGCAGAGGGGAUCAAAAGCAAGGGAAGCAGUGUGGAGAGCAGAGUUCCAACUGUGGAAAUUCCAGCCUUCUCCCAUGGGUGCUGCACAGCUUUGCUAUGUAGGCUCUCUCUAU